CCCGCUGAACUUAAGCAUAUCAAUAAGCGGAGGAAAAGAAACUAACAAGGAUUCCCCUAGUAACUGCGAGUGAAGCGGGAAAAGCUCAAAUUUAAAAUCUGGCGUGCCUCUGGCCGUCCGAGUUGUAGUCUGGAGAAGCGUUUUCCGUGUUGGACCGUGUACAAGUCUCUUGGAACAGGGCGUCAUAGAGGGUGAGAAUCCCGUCUUUGACACGGACUACCAAUGCUUUGUGAUGCGCUCUCAAAGAGUCGAGUUGUUUGGGAAUGCAGCUCAAAAUGGGUGGUAAAUUCCAUCUAAAGCUAAAUAUAGGCGAGAGACCGAUAGCGAACAAGUACCGUGAGGGAAAGAUGAAAAGCACUUUGGAAAGAGAGUUAAACAGUACGUGAAAUUGUUGAAAGGGAAACGUUUGAAGUCAGUCGCGUCGGCCGAGACUCAGCCUUGCUUCCGCUCGGUGCACUUCUCGGUUGACGGGUCAGCAUCAAUUUCGACCGCCGGAUAAAGGUUGAGGGAACGUGACAUCUUUCGAGGUGUGUUAUAGCCCUCGAUUCGCAUACGGCGAUUGGGAUUGAGGAACUCAGCGCGCCUUCAUGGCCGGGGUUCGCCCACGUAACGUGCUUAGGAUGCUGGCGUAAUGGCUUUAAACGACCCGUCUUGAAACACGG
rnacentral:rRNA from 1 species